GACGAACGCUGGCGGCGUGCCUAAUACAUGCAAGUCGAGCGAAGUUUUUCUGGUGCUUGCACCGGAAAAACUUAGCGGCGAACGGGUGAGUAACACGUAAAGAACCUGCCUCAUAGACUGGGAUAACUAUUGGAAACGAUAGCUAAUACCGGAUAAUAGCAUUAACUGCAUGGUUGAUGUUUAAAAGUUGGUUUUGCUAACACUAUGAGAUGGCUUUGCGGUGCAUUAGCUAGUUGGUGGGGUAAAGGCCUACCAAGGCGACGAUGCAUAGCCGACCUGAGAGGGUGAUCGGCCACACUGGGACUGAGACACGGCCCAGACUCCUACGGGAGGCAGCAGUAGGGAAUCUUCCGCAAUGGGCGAAAGCCUGACGGAGCAACGCCGCGUGAGUGAAGAAGGAUUUCGGUUCGUAAAGCUCUGUUGUUAGGGAAGAAUGGUUGUGUAGUAACUAUACACAGUAGAGACGGUACCUAACCAGAAAGCCACGGCUAACUACGUG
rnacentral:rRNA from 1 species